rnacentral:rRNA from 1 species
AGUGGCGAACGGGUGAGUAACACGUGGGCAACCCUGCCCAAAAGAGGGGGAUAACACUUGGAAACAGGUGCUAAUACCGCAUAACCAUAGUUACCGCAUGGUAACUAUGUAAAAGGUGGCUAUGCUACCGCUUUUGGAUGGGCCCGCGGCGCAUUAGCUAGUUGGUGGGGUAAAGGCUUACCAAGGCAAUGAUGCGUAGCCGAACUGAGAGGUUGAUCGGCCACAUUGGGACUGAGACACGGCCCAAACUCCUACGGAAGGCAGCAG